UGCCGUCAUCACCUAAGAUAUG
rnacentral:misc_RNA from 1 species